AAGUCUUUGUAUCCGCCGUUCUUGUCACUGCACUCAUUAGCUCAGGACACACACACACACACAUACACACAUCCUCAUGGGCUGGUUUAGCUGGGUUUGGGACUGGCUGUCCUACUUGGGGCUGUCCAAUAAAACAGGUAAACUUCUGUUUCUUGGGCUGGACAACGCCGGCAAAACCACCCUUCUUGGCAAGCUGGCAACGAAUCAGGUCCACGUCCACCGCCCUACAUUUCACCCUAACUCGGAGGACUUGACUCUGGGGGGCAUCAAGCUCAAAACCAUUGAUAUGGGUGGCCAUCAGCAGGCGCGUCGGCUGUGGAAGGAUUACUUCACGAAGGUCGACGGCGUCGUUUUCAUCGUUGACGCAGCGACGCCACAACGUUUUCCAGAAGCAAAGAGCGAGCUUGAUAUGCUGCUGCAGUCGGAAGAACUCGCCAAAACGCCGUUCCUGAUUUUAGGUAACAAGAUCGACAUGCCGGGCUGCACAUGCUCUGAGGGGCAACUUGUCAUGGAGAUGGGUCUGGAUGGUGCACUCACGGGCAAGGCGACCCCAGUAACAGACCCCAAUGUGCGUCCCUUGGAGGUGUACAUGUGCAGCGUAGUCAAGAACGUCGGCUACGGUGACGGCUUCCGCUGGCUCUCACAGUAUCUGAAGAGCUCGUAGAGAGCCCUAUGGCAUGUGCACUUGCAAUGCGCGUACGGGUGACUGCGCUUGCGUAGUUGUUUGGCUUUUUUUUCUGAAGAUAAAAACGGAAAGAUAUAUGACGAAAGUAGGACAAGAAAGUUGAGGUCACACAAACCCGUUUUCUAUGCCCUUCCCUAUUGCGUAGAUGUGUUUGUGUGGGCGCGUGUGUGUGUAUGUGCUUUGCUAUGGGGGGGUCGCGCAUGUGCCCGUAAAGUGGCUCAUUUUUUUUUUCGUUUUGCUUCUUCGAACGGCAUGGGCUUUCAACAACUGCCGCUCUGCUUCCUUUUCCGACUGUGGUUGCUUGCCCCUCUCGUGUUCCUUUGAAGGACCAGGAGCCUUCUACCGGGGUAGCCGAAGGUGAGUGGGAGGGGGUGCAAUCCUACAGCGCAGGACCCUGCUGCGCUGAGAUGAAAAAGGAGAUCAUGUGUAACGCGAAGUCACCAUCGAUAUCUCAUUUUCCUGCCAAGCGCAUCAACAAUAGUGUCGAGGCCACACCGCCUCCUGCAACCGUUUGCUUCCCUUAAAGAGCACAAAAG
rnacentral:misc_RNA from 1 species